rnacentral:lncRNA from 1 species
AACUGACAUCACAUGGCUGCGGUUAUGAUACAUUGAAAAGUCCACAGAAUUUCUGCCCCACUCCCCCCCACCCAAAGCAUUAACUAUAAAGAAACACCAGACAAACUCAAACUGAGGGACAUUCCACAAAGAAACUGGUUUGUACACUUCAAAAUGUCAAGUUAUUAAAUACAAAGAAAGGCUGAGGAACUGCUCCAUACAGAAGGAAACUGAACAGUCAUGACAGUGUGUGAUCCUGGGUCAAAUCCCGGACCUUUAGAGGAAAUUUUGGAACAAUCUGCAAAAUCCAAAUGAGGUCUGUGGAGUAGAGAGUUCUACCAUACCAAUCAAUGUUGACUUUGAUGAUGUGUACUGGGGUUAUGGAGAAGAGUAACUUUAAAGAAAAAUGUUCACCAUGACCAGUACCAUCACCAACACUUCCUGGCUCUACAGCACAUGUAGAUUAGGAUAACGGCUAACUUGGAUGUGAUUCUCAGUUCGGUUACAUUCAAGCAAUCCACUGUGCAGAGAUGGAGAACACAGGGUAAUGUGUUGAUACUGAAAAUGAGAAUUCACAAAGCACAGUGAAAAGAAUGCUAAGAUGAGCAGUAAAGGGAGUUAAGAGUCAAAGACAGAGGAAGUAUAAAGCAUUCAAGUAUGGGAUAAGGGCACUUAAAAAGGCAGAUAUCCAGUUGGUUUUGGAAAUGGGGUAAUAAUAAUCAAGGGUAACAGGUAUGAGAGUAAUAAAGGAACAGCUAGCCUCGAGCCUAACAGCUUUUUAUCAUAUUUAUCAGGAGACCAGCAUUCUGUUACCAGCUUCAUUAAAAACUAAUUAUAAAUACUAUUCAGCAAUAAAAAGGAACAAAAUACUGAUACAUGCUACAACAUGAAUGACCCUCAAACACACUAUAGUAAAUGAAAGAAGCCAGAUACAAACACCACAUAUUGUAUGAUGCCAUUUACAUGAAAUGUCCAGAAAAGGCUAAACUAUACAGACAGUAGAUUAGUGGUGUCCUGGCACUGGGGAUUAACUGCAAUCCCCGUUUGAUUACAGUAAAUAACAACUCAUUUGUAAUCUCAAAAUUGAGGCAUAGAGCUAUUUAGUGACAAUCACAGUACCUAACUCAUAAGGGCUCUUUGAAGAUCAAAUGAGAUAAUACAGGUUAAAAGCUUAGAACAAUGCCCGGCACUUAGUAAGUAAGGGCUCAAGAUGUACACGCGCGCACACACACACACACACACACACACACAUACACACAUACACACGUCCAGCUUAAAAACUUAGAAAAUAAAAUGCAUGUAAAAAACAACAUGCAUAUAAUAAAUUAUAAAUGUAAAUAAAGUAUAAGUCCAUACUUAUUUAAAGAUUCAGCAACAAAUUAUAGUUCAUCCUAGACCUAUUUCUUAAUCAAGGUAAAUAGUUUAAAAUAUUUUGGGAGAACUUUUUAAAUAUACAUAUAAAGUAUAAGAAGAACAACGGAAACUUACUAUAUUAUUUCUCUAAUAUUUGGGGUCUAAAUAAAGUUUAAGGAAAUGUUGAGACUCUUCCUCAGCCUCUCAUCUUCUCAAGUUGACAUUUUGAUGUGUUAAUUCCCUAAUUACAUGAUUUUUCAGUAUGUUCCACAUUUUAUUUCUAUAUAGAAAGUCCUUUAUUGAAUAUGGACAUCCGGCACAUAUUUUUACCUUGGUAAUUUUUUCUCACAAAGAGUAGGCUGUUGUUACAUCUUAGCAAUAUAAUCCUGGACCAAAAAAACCCAGCAAUCAAUACUAUUGAGGCCAAAGGCCCCGACCUCAGUGACAUACGUAUACUUUUUUCCAUGUUUUCUUGUCCUUGAUAACAUACACUAUGAUACUGGAGGCUCUGGAGUUCUCUCUUCCCAGCAGGUGUCAGAUAAUGAUGUAUCUACUGCCUCCUGAACUCAGUCCUGUUCAUUGACUCUUUCAAUACAGGUAUACAAAGUGAAAAGUUGCUAACCCACUACUCCACCAGACAAAUAAAUAGUUGUUUAAUUUUAAUCCUUUGAAAUAAGUAUUCCAUGGACAUACCUGUAUAUCUUUGGUUAAACUAUUUCCUCACCAGCAUCAACAUUUAUAUUCUCUUAUUUAUUAUCUCUAAGACCAUUUAUAAAAUGAACUCGUU